CCGGGCUCGGUUCUUUCCCGCCAGAGGGCCCCGCGCUGGGGUCGGAGAAGCGCGCGGCCCGCGGCCCCCGGAACCGCUACGGAUCCGUUCGUCCUGGGGAACCACGACUCCCGCCCCCACCCCCUUCCAGUCCGGGUCUCUCUGAGGCAUCGACUGCUCCUGGGACAGAGCCUCGGGUUGAGGGGCUAAGGCUGGGAGCGGGCUUAGGCUCGGGAACCGUAUCCUUGAGGUUUUCUUUCCUCUCCGCUGCGAGUGGCACUUUCUCAUAUUUCUGCGGCGUUUCCCUCUCCCCCGACCCUUAGUAUCUCUCUCUGGUGCCCCAGGCAGGUCUGACUCUCCGAUGCCACCUGCUGCUUACAUCCACAGAGGCGGCAAACACCAGGCGGUAGGGUAAUCCAGUGUGUCCCGUGUGCCCACAAGUGUACCCCAGGGAGAGGGGUACACAGAUGGCUCAAGCAGUAUACACAUGCGCACACCAGGUGUUCAGACCAAAGCAAAGUGAGCAACCAGCGUGCCAACCCCAGGUGGGCAGGAUCCUAACUCCCCAGGUGAGACGCAUGAGUGUGGGGGUCUGUGUCCAAGAGAUGCCUCAGUGAGGGUGGAAACUGGUGGGAUGGAACUGGGCAGAACGCGGCUCCGUGAGGAAGCUGGGAUCACACCACCUGAAGGCCAUAGGGAGAGCACAGGCCUAGUGCAGCAGGAAGGAGCCCUGGGUCUCCAGAGUUAGGCUGUGCCCUGUGGGAGAAGCCAGGCCCCACCUCUUCUCUUUGGGCGAACUGUGGAUGUGACUAUGUGACUGUCUCCAGAUGAAGAACUGGGGCAAAAGGGUUGACCACUGACCUGUCCUAAUCAGGCUGACUGAGGACUAACUCCUUGGAUAGUGUAUUUCUGCCGGCCAGAGAGCUAAAUGACAGCCAAGAGAAGGUGGGGGAGGGAGGAAGAGGAGAAAUUGGAACUGAGAAACAAGUUAAAGGACAUUUCUAACCUAGGUAUGCUGUGGAUGUGGAACUGAGGCCUUGAGGAAUCUUUCUGUGCCUCUCCCUAGGAGAGGACUGAGCACUUGCUUCGAGGAAGGACACCUCCAGGAAGGGGGUCUUGGCCACUUCAGCUACUGUUUACCUGAAUCUCCUUCAUCUCAGCUCCUUCCUCCCUCCUCCCAGGUAACACCACACUGUGAAUACCACCUGCGGGGGACAGGACAGGAGGUGGUCUGUGUGCCACCACUGUCCCUGCUGCUUCUGAGCUCACGUUUCAGGGAAAUCAGGAAGUGGGGUUGUUGCUCAGCUUAUGCAUCUUAAAUAUGAAAGGGGCUGGAAGAAUGUUGGGGGAAGGAAAGGACAUUAGGUGGGGCCUGAAAUGGCAGAGUCUACUGCAGUAUUUCAGAGGGUGGACAACAGGCUUCCCUUCAUCAGGGCAGGAUGUGAGCCACAACCACUAGGCAGUGUCACCACACUCCUGGCCUCUGCGGCCACACAGGAGCACAGGACCGCCUGGGCACCAGGCUCUUUUUGAGGCUAUCAGGCCUUGGAAACAGCCUUGAAAAGCUUUUUUAGGGUAACAAUUCCAAACCCUAAGACAAGUCCACCACAAUGGGCAUAGCCUAUAAGGCUCUCCCACAUCUCAACCUCACAAAUAAUAGUUGUUUCUAAGUUUGCUUUCCAAAUACUCAUGCCCUACUAAAGAACCAACUUUCCAAAGGCCAGUAAGAGCCACAUGGAAUUCACCGAGACACAAGUGCUGAGGAAGGGGGCAGCCACCACCUCAUAGUCCAGACGUGCUGUUUUGGUUCUUGUAUUUGUGCCCUUGCGCUGGGCUGGGGUGGGGAGGGCACAUGAACAGAACACCAUCUCUGAACUGCCAAUCAGCAUGUGACUGGCCCCAUCUCCCCUUUUACUAAUUAGGCUCAGCAGCUCUGGAAGGCAAGGGAGGAACACGUGGAGGAUGGAUGGGGCCCCUGAGGUGAAGGCCCUGAGCCCUGACUCCAGCCUCUGCUCCUGGCUCACUGCUGCUGGCUGCAUGCUGCUGCCUGAACUUUGCUCAAGCCUCUCCACCACCUCCUAUGGGGACCUGGGCAGUUGAGAAUCACUGGUCCACAUUUCUCUUCCACCAUUAACAAAAGGGAUAUAGAUGGGAGCAACAGGGACAAGAAUGCCACCUCCUGGGUGAGUGAGGAUGAAUUACGACAUAGUAUGUGACCACUCCUCACCCAGUAGUUGGUACAUAGAGAGGUCAAACACAUGUUUCUUAAAAUGUCACUUUAGGAUGGAGUACUAGGCCUCCCUGAAUGCACCUGAUCAGGAGAAAUGCUCCUUAAGGGAAAUCAUCUUAACAGGGGGAUUCGCAGAUUCAAGGGCUCCUUUGUAAGCAGGCCCAGAAGACUGGCUCUGCUCCCAGAAGGAAGGAUUGUUUCUUUCAGCCACCUUUUGGCUGCUACCAUUUCUUGUCCUCGAGAAAGGCACUCCUAGUGCCUGUGGAGGGAAAGGCCACAUGUGUGCAGCAUGGCUUUCCUUUCCACAGGAGCCAUCCUCCAGCCCCACCCCAGACUUCAGGUUUUCAAUUGUUUAUGGUGUGCCAGAGACCAGGAAAUGCCAGAGGGAUGUUUACAACAAAGCUGCCAAAACUCUAAGCCUUCUUGUUCUACUCCCUAAGGAGAAAAAAGAUGCAUAAGAAACAACUAGCCCAUGGACCCCAGCUCCAUCUGAACAUCAAGAUACCAUGGGGACAUUCCAGAGUCCCUGCAAAGAGUCUCAUGAGCUGCAGUUCAUUGAGAGGCUUUAGGCCACAGGGAGAAAGGAGGGCUCCAGUCUCCUCUUAGAGGUGAGGGAUUGUGGUUACAGGUUGUAUGAGCUGUCACAGGAGGGUGAAAAGUCCAGCCUCUUGCUAAGGAUGCCCAGGAGGCAGCAGCCAAGUGAAGAUGGAUGGAAUGCAGGGGCAGGAGGGGAGCCCAAGUGCAGGGGCUGGGGCUCAGACAGCCAAAGGGCCCCACACACAAGGCCUCGUCUCAGAGUCCUCCAGGCUGCUGGAUGACAAGCGUCGGCGCUGGGCGUUACAUCGACUGACGGCAUUGUCAUCAGCCUGCCAGGUACCUGGGGAAGAGAAAAUGAACAUUAAAGGGGCCAAAGCUUUGGCCAGGUCCAGAUGGUGUCUCCAGCAGGGCAGCCCAGGAGUCAGCACGGAAGGAGCAGGAUGAGUAUCAUCUGAGACCCCUGCGAGGGCGCAAGCCACAGCACCCUCUUAAGAACAGAGAGAAGCAGGUGCAGACAGGUGCAGGGGCUGCUCCUGCCCCCUGGGCUAGGUACAGUCACUGCCACGGUGGCUCCCAGACAGGGAGGAUGCUCCUUGUUUUGUGAACUUACCCUAGGAUCCACUUUAGUAUUUUAAGUUCUUGGUUUGAAAGUUUGCCUAUAUGUUACGAUAGACAGGAAAAGGAAAUUGGGCCUUGCUGAGCUAUUUUCAUUGGGGCAGGAAGAGGUGGGGGGAAGUGAGAAGACUAUGUUCGUUCUGGCCCAAAGUAUUAAUGUUUUCUGCGGGGGCCAAGGUGGAGCAGGAAAGGACUGGCCACCCAGCAGGGUUCCUGGGACAGAAGGCCACAUGGAGGGAGGACAGUGUGAGGCCCCAGCCCCCCUCACCUGCCAUUUUCCCCUCUUCCUGCACCUGCGCAGCUGUUGAGGUUUGCUACUAGCUGGUGCCAUCAGCCCAGCAGACACCAGCCUGGGAGCCUUGGGGUCCCACAGGUACCACCACUGAACGCAUCCUCUCCCCUAAAUCUGCUGCUGCCCCCAUGUGAGGAGCGCCAGCGCCAGUCUGGAAACCCAUUCUGGGUGCUGCUCUUUCCUUUGUGCUCCGCAUCCAAUCCUCCACAAGCUCCUACGGGCUCACUUCUAGCCAUGUUGUGACGCCAUCUGUAGUCACACUAACUGGGCUCCACUUCCAGUUUACAUCGGUGUGAUCUUGGGCACAUCAAUUUACUGUGGGCCUUGGUUUUCUCAUCCAUCAGAUGGGAGAUGAGUACUGACCUCACAGGCUUGCUGUGAGGACUAGAGAACGCAAGUGCUGGUGAGAGAAUCUGACUCCUACAACAGCCUGUGCUCACGCUCCUGCAGGCCACCUCGCCUUUUCACUGGGUGUCCUCUUCAUCUUUCGCCCACAGAUGAGCUGGUUCCCUCCAGUGCCUUCCCUCCAGGGAGGCUAGAAUGCUCCUGCCUUGGGCCUUGGCCGCCUCUGCUCUCAGGGCCCCCUGGCACCCUGGGGAAGGGAAGCCAUGUCAUCCUCCAGACGCUGUGGGCCUCGUAAGCCAUGUCUCCCAGUUCCCUCCCCUUACAAGGCACCUCUGGCCGGGUGAGGCCAGUGUGCACCUAAGUGCUCGCUGCAGCCUGAACUACGGCUCCACGCACACGUCACAUGGUGGAAACCGCUGAGUCCUGGAGCUCCUCCAUGGGCAGGGGCCAUGACUUUUCCACUGCUGUGGUCCAGAGCCCAGCAGGACACCCGACCCAUAGGAGGGCCUGUUCAGUGGACAAGGCCGACACACUGUAGAGUGUGGCCGUGAGGUUGAGAGGCCACUCCCAAGUGUCCUGAGUCAGCCUCAGACCAGCCCAGGACAUGAAGUGCUUUAACCCACGUGGAGUCAGCAGGACUCCGGAGCUGCGGCUGUUCAGUAGGAAAGACCAAAAGCAAAUGGUAAACAAGAGAGAAGACACACAUGCAUGCACAAAUAAAAACAGCAGCACCGCCGCCGCCGCCGCCGCCACCGCCACCACCGCUGCUGCCACCACCGAGGCCACCAGCAAGCCAUAAAACGCUGGGCCCAGAGAGUCGCCCUGACUCUUCAUUCACAGGAGUCCUUGCAACAAAUGGCACCCUUCUAAUCUAGAAGCAUAAGCCAGGGCAGAGCAUCGGUUACUUGUGGAAGACUCAAGAAUCAGAUCUGAAGUCUCUCCCGGCCUCUUGAUCUUAGUACACUGAAUACAGGACCUCGCAAAUUAGGAACGGGAGCCUUACUCACAGCCCCAAGUGCGCGCCUCCCAGGUGUGUGCGUGGCCAGCAAGCUUGGAUGGGGUGAAGCAUUGGCAGGGAGGACAGUGCUGGCACGGAGUGAACAUGAACUCUCAUACCAAGUCUAGAGAACGUACAUGAGUUUAGAAAAUAAACAAACCAGACAGACAAAUUUACAUUUGGCAACAUGAUGUGAAACACAAAUGGACAGAUGGAAGCCAGGCCAGGGCGGGAAGGUAGGGGUGGUACAGCCCCUGGGCCCCAGCAGCUCCAGUCCAGGCCAAACUGGCAGGAGGCUGGCCCCAUGGUCUACACUCAGGCAGGAAGGGGGUCUUCCCUGGGCCUGUGCAGGAGAAGCAGGGGAACCAAUACUGCCUCUUUCGGUCUCACUGAAUAUGAAGAGGCCUAGGCAGUGUCUUUAGGACAAACUAAAUAGAAAAUGACUCAAGAAAGUCCUUUGAAAGGCUGGAGAAAGCGUCUCUAGAGAAUUCCAGCUUCCCUGCCACAAGCUUGUGUGGGGCCAGAGCGUGCUGGAACUGUGCCUUGCACAGGUUGAUGGAGAGUGGCAACCGCAGAGGUCGUGUGGCUCCAAUGCCUCCAGCCACGUCGCCGAGCGAGUAAAGCACUGGACCCAUGAUGUGGCUGUUCUGAAGCUGAAGUGAGUCUUCAUUCAGGGAAUGUUUAAGAGGAUUCAAACAACACGAUGUGAAGGACAAUCUGUGUUGUGAAACCCGGAGGGGACAUUUGGCUGAGUCCACUUGGGCAAGAUGUGGAUUUUAGAAAAGCAGUUUUUGGAGCCCUUGAACGGGCACAUUAACUAAAAAGGCAGUCGGUGUGCAAAGUGUGAUGAACAUGACUGUGUAAGACACCACCUAGAUUCGGUUUAGUAUCAUGAAGAAGAAUAAGGGCACACUGACAACCUGAUCACCUGUGAAGCUGCAGCUCCAGGGAGCAUAGUGAAGCCCUAACUUGACCUCUCCUUUGGAUCUGAAUCCAGUAUGUAUAAUGCACUGGUAACCCAAAGCUCACUGGCUCAAUUAGAAUCAUUCCUUAGCCUCUAAAAUGCUUGCUUUUAGAUUCCUCUCUGAUCCUAGCUGAAGCACAUCUCUUCUGAGGAGCUACGGCUUCACUUUAAAAGGGCUCAGGCAAUCCUUACAAGACUUUCAUAGACAGGUGGUAUCUGUCUGCUCAAACUUCCUGUCACUGAAAACAAGACCAGGCCACCUGACAUGAUAACUGCAAGGCCAGGAGAUGGAGUGGAGAGUGUUUAGGCCAAAUUAUAUAUUUUGCUUCUUUCUUCCUACCCUAAUAUUCUCACUUAGAGCAAGGAUGGCUCAUUGCAAAAAGCUCAGGGACUCUCCCAGGCCUUCUUACUUCCUUUCAGCAAGUGUUCUCCAGCACUAGCACACCCCAGGCCUUCUUGCCAGGAACUGCAGAGCAGGAGAUGGGUGUACCAGGGUGAGAGCAGGGGUAAGAGCACAGGGAUCGUCUCCCACCAAGUUCAUGUUCAGCAGACUGCCACUCACCAGAAAGAAGAAAACAAAUCCAUUCCAGGGCUAGGGAAUGUCAGCUGAAACCACCUGGCCACACUGCACUUCUUAGAAGCAGAUAUUCUAUCAGAGAAACCAUCACAAGGGGUAACUCUACAGCCUCGAGCACUGAAGUCAUCAGCUGAGUUAGUGACACUACAAAUCCCCUUGGGCUGGGGUGCAAGAGCUGAUGGAGGCAGCCUUGGCGGCCACCUUCUCCUUCAGGCUCCUUGGCCAGGCAGGAGCUGUCAGGUCCACACGCACACCUUCCACACUCCCCAAGCGAUGGCCAGCGCUGAAGCAGAAGCAAUAGGAUGACAUCUGCUGGUGCGUCUGCAUCCAGGCCGGGGCACACGUGUGCUCUGGAGGUGCCCUUGCGGGAGGUGCUUCAGAGCAGAAGGGGGAAGAGUCUGGCUCCUGGAACACGUGGUGUUCCCUGCUCAGGGGAGACUUUCCCACCUCCGUUCUUCCUCCUAUGUGCUUGCUCUGUGGGCCAUUCCUUCUCUUCUAGCCUUACUAGAAACAAUAUUCUUCCAACUGAAGAUGUAACUGAAGCCUCAAUUAUGGUGCAGGAAAACCAUUACAACAGCCUUAAAAAUGCUUGCCUAAGCUGAGCUGCUGAAGAAACCUGGACCUGUUUCCUUGACCACGCCUUUAAUGUGUCUGCUGGCUCCUGGGAGUCCUCUUUUACAAUAACGUCUGCCAUUUUCCUAACUAAAGCAAGACUUGACCAGCUGCCAAAUAGUCCUCCCCUUCCCCCCAGUGGAAGAAAUGGCUAUAGCUGUUCAACACUGAAACUGCCAGAGCAGCUCUGUGGGGCUCCACUGAACACCUGCAGCAGAGAGGCUGGCGAUGGGAGCUGCUUAGAGCGCUUCCGAAUGUACUUGGGGUAAAUAUGUACCUGCAUGUAUAUCCUGCAGCACCCGCACCUGACAUCCUUGGCUCUGAGGCCCAGAAAGAGCCGAGGAGGUCAUAGAGGUCAUCAGUGCCCUGCUUGCUUUGAUACACCAUUAAGAAGACAGCCUUUCCUCUAACAGCCAUACAACUGAACAGUGCCACCAAGUCAUACUGGUACCUUUUUCUUUACCCCUUAAAAGAAUACCCAGGAAAGAAAGAUAAUAAAAGGAAAUAAAGGACCAGAUCUUUUACCAUCUUCCUGUGUGGGUGAUCCAUCCUCUUCCUCUAUAACAUCAUUUCCCUAGGAUAGAAGGAAGGCCUUGUGAGUUUAUAAAGCAGGAAAAUGAGUCGACUGAUUGGCUGAUGACGGAACUAAUCAUCUUAAUGGUAUCUAACUCCAGGGCCUACGUUACUAGCAUAUAUUUUCAUCUGUGUUUAAUAUGCCUGAGAGGCUGACUAGAGGCAGAUCUUGCUUGGUGAGGCACCAUCUGCCUAUAGGGAUUAGAUCCGAGCCACAUUACCCAUAUAGGCUCAGAAUGGUCUGUCAGGAACACCCUUGUUAAUAGCUUAGCUGAUACUGUUUCUCUAAGGUGGAAGUAAAAGUUACUAAAUGAAAGAG